CUCACCUGACUCAGAGGAGCUGGGCUGCCACAGGAUGCAGCCUGUUCCUCUGUGGGCACAGGGAAUGUCACUUGGAGGAUUUCCCCCUCUCCUUUCCUGCAAGACCCCAGAGGAGGAAGGACAGCAGCGAAGGAUGGCACCAGCACAGGAGUUAAAACACACAGAUUAUGUGCACUGGGAUCCAGACCCUUUGGGAGGGAGGUACCAGCCUUCAGCACCGAGGCAGGAGGAGACUGAGGCUACCCAAAAUCUGGUUUUAGUUCUGACAUCCAAGGCUACCCUGCACAUCUCUGUGCAUGGAAAGGAUCCACCUCUCUCCAUGGCAAACAGGAUGAGCCCCAGCUCCAGUGACUGGCACCUUGAUACAGCCCAGGAAACAUUCUCCCAGCUGUGAUUUACACAAAGGGACAGGGCACGUGGAGAGAUACACGGGAUGUGAGCUGGGACAGGACAGGGGCUUGUGUGGCCAUUCCAC